GAUGAAGAACGUAGCGAAAUGCGAUAAGUAGUGUGAAUUGCAGAAUUCAGUGAAUCAUCGAAUCUUUGAACGCACAUUGCGCCCCUUGGUAUUCCAUGGGGCAUGCCUGUUCGAGCGUCAUUUGUACCUUCAAGCUCUGCUUGGUGUUGGGUGUUUGUCUCGCCUCUGCGUGUAGACUCGCCUCAAAACAAUUGGCAGCCGGCGUAUUGAUUUCGGAGCGCAGUACAUCUCGCGCUGUGCACUCAUAACGACGACGUCCAAAAGUACAUUUUUACACUCUUGACCUCGGAUCAGGUAGGGAUACCCGCUGAACUUAAGCAUAUCAAUAAGCGGAGGA
rnacentral:misc_RNA from 1 species